GCACAAACAGCUCCUUAAAUGAGCAUAAUAAAAAUAAUAAAAGUACAAUACUCAAGGAGUAGAAGCCUUUGCUGAACACUCUUAAAUGAUUGAAACAUUUGAAUGCUGCUGGAGAGUGGUUGGUGAGCUGAUUGAAUGCUUCUUUCUCCUCUUUCUAAGAUUUUCUUUCUCUUUCACGGAUUUGAGCUUGAAUGCUUCUUUCUUGUUUGAUUUCUCACCUCUAGAGAGUAUUUAUAGUCUUCAUUUUAUCUUAAGAGUGUCUU
rnacentral:lncRNA from 1 species